GGGCGAUUAGCGCAGCGGUAGCGCACUUCCCUGACACGGAAGGGGUCGCAGGUCCGAUUCCUGCAUCGCCCA
rnacentral:tRNA from 1 species